GACGAACGCUGGCGGCGUGCUUAACACAUGCAAGUCGAACGGAAAGGCCCUGCUUUUGUGGGGUGCUCGAGUGGCGAACGGGUGAGUAACACGUGAGUAACCUGCCCUUGACUUUGGGAUAACUUCAGGAAACUGGGGCUAAUACCGGAUAGGAGCUCCUGCUGCAUGGUGGGGGUUGGAAAGUUUCGGCGGUUGGGGAUGGACUCGCGGCUUAUCAGCUUGUUGGUGGGGUAAUGGCUUACCAAGGCUUUGACGGGUAGCCGGCCUGAGAGGGUGACCGGCCACAUUGGGACUGAGAUACGGCCCAGACUCCUACGGGAGGCAGCCGUGGGGAAUAUUGCACAAUGGGCGGAAGCCUGAUGCAGCAACGCCGCGUGCGGGAUGACGGCCUUCGGGUUGUAAACCGCUUUCGCCUGUGACGAAGCGUGAGUGACGGUAAUGGGUAAAGAAGCACCGGCUAACUACGUG
rnacentral:rRNA from 1 species